rnacentral:sRNA from 1 species
UGAAAGCCAAUAAUACUUCGAUACCGAUGU